rnacentral:lncRNA from 1 species
UUGGACCAAGACUGCUUGUAAUUACUGUUAAAGUGCUCACCCGCUUGUGAAGUCCCUAUAUGAGACCUAUUAGAAGCCAAUUCAUUAUGUUGAAGACUUAUACAUGCCAGAAGAGUUUUGAGCUCCUGAAUUGCUUGUUUUCAGUUUCCUUACGAGGCUCUGUCUGCCUCUGUUCAAUACGAUCCUCCAUUUUCCUCAUCAUUGCAGCGGGUUCUCUUCGCCAUUCUUGCCCUCUCAUACCAUCCGCCAUUGUUGCCAAGAUCGGAGCUCUGAUACCAAAUGUUAUAACCUAGAGUUCUCAUAAGAAUUAUAGAAGAACAGAACCAGAGAAAGAAGAAGAAACCGUCAAGAGAGAAUCAGAAAGAAGACUUUAUUCAUAUCUCACUCCCUGUAUUAUAGUUAUUGAUUACAAGUAUUUAUAUCAAAGUCUCUAAC